rnacentral:rRNA from 1 species
GACGAACGCUGGCGGCGUGCUUAACACAUGCAAGUCGAACGGAGCGAAUGAAAGCUUGCUUUUAUAAGCUUAGUGGCAAACGGGUGAGUAACACGUAGGCAACCUGCCGACAGGAUGGGGACAACAUUCCGAAAGGAAUGCUAAUACCGAAUGAAGCGCAGGAGAGGCAUCUCUCCUGCGUGAAAGAUGGCCUCUAUAUAUAAGCUAUCACCUGUCGAUGGGCCUGCGUCUGAUUAGCUGGUAGGUGAGGUAACGGCUCACCUAGGCGACGAUCAGUAGCCGGUCUGAGAGGAUGAACGGCCACAUUGGGACUGAGACACGGCCCAGACUCCUACGGGAGGCAGCAGUGGGGAAUCUUCCGCAAUGGGCGCAAGCCUGACGGAGCAACGCCGCGUGAGUGAAGAAGGUCUUCGGAUCGUAAAGCUCUGUUGAUGGGGACGAACGUGCCUAAUGCAAAUAGUAUUAGG